rnacentral:rRNA from 1 species
GUAGGGUCUUUUGCGCAAUGGACCUAAAGUCUGGCGGCGCGAAUUUCGCCGUGUGACGUGAUGAAGUUUCUUUCGGGUCGUCAAACUCUGUUGUUGGCGGCUAGAACAAGUGCUAGUUGAAUAAGGUGGGGCCUUGCCGGUUCCUUACCAGGAGGCCAGGGCUAACUACUUGCCAGCAGCCGCGGUAAUACUUUGGUGGCUAGCGUUAUCCGGAAUUAUUGGGCGUUUAGCGGGCGCAGGUGGUUUCUUAAUUCUGAAUGUUAACAGCCCACGGUUCAACCGUGGAGGGUCAUUGGAAACUGGGAGACUUGAGUGCAGAAGAGGAAAGUGGAAUUCCAUGUGUAGCGGUGAUAUGCGUAGAGAUAUGGAGGAACACCAGUGGCGAAGGCGACUUUCUGGUCUGUAACUGACUCUGAGGCGCGAAAGUUUGGGGAGCAAACCGGAUUAGAUACCCUGGUAGUCCACGCCGUAAACUAUUCGUGCUAAGUGUUAGAGGGUUUCCGCCCUUUUAGUCCUGAAGUCACUCAGCGAAGCGUUGCUCCGUCGGACUUUGAGCCAU